UACGGAGGGAGCUAGCGUUGUUCGGAAUUACUGGGCGUAAAGGGCGCGUAGGCGGCCUUCUAAGUCGAACGUGAAAUCCCCGGGCUCAACCCGGGAACUGCGUCCGAUACUGGAAGGCUUGAAUCCGGGAGAGGGAUGCGGAAUUCCAGGUGUAGCGGUGAAAUGCGUAGAUAUCUGGAGGAACACCGGUGGCGGAAGGCGGCGACUCCGUCGGAUGCCGUAGUCG
rnacentral:rRNA from 1 species